rnacentral:rRNA from 1 species
GACAGAGGGGGCAAGCGUUGCUCGGAAUCACUGGGCGUAAAGGGCGCGUAGGCGGGAUGGCAAGUCAGUCGUGAAAUCUCUCGGCUCAACCGAGAAACGUCGGCUGAUACUGCCGUUCUUGAGGGAUGCAGAGGAGACUGGAAUUCCCGGUGUAGCGGUGAAAUGCGUAGAUAUCAGGAGGAACACCGGUGGCGAAGGCGGGUCUCUGGGCCGAUACUGACGCUGAGGAGCGAAAGCGUGGGGAGCGAACAGG